UACAGAGGUCUCAAGCGUUGUUCGGAUUCAUUGGGCGUAAAGGGUGCGUAGGUGGCGAGGCGAGUCGGAUGUGAAAUCCCGGGGCUUAACCCCGGAACUGCAUUCGAUACUGCCUUGCUCGAGUACUGGAGAGGAGACUGGAAUUUACGGUGUAGCAGUGAAAUGCGUAGAUAUCGUAAGGAAGACCAGUGGCGAAGGCGAGUCUCUGGACAGUUACUGACACUGAGGCACGAAGGCCAGGGGAGCAAACGGG
rnacentral:rRNA from 1 species